rnacentral:ribozyme from 11 species
AGAUGAAGAAGAAGAAGAAGAAGAGAAAGGAGAAAAAGAAGAAUUGUGAGGAUAUUCGUCGUGGGGAGAAGUAUCAUCUUUUCCAUCUUGAUCCUUUUCUUUCUCUUCGUAU